AUUGAACGCUGGCGGCAGGCUUAACACAUGCAAGUCGAGCGGUAACAGGAGAAGCUUGCUUCUUGCUGACGAGCGGCGGACGGGUGAGUAAUACUUAGGAAUCUGCCCAGUAGUGGGGGAUAGCUCGGGGAAACUCGAAUUAAUACCGCAUACACCCUACGGGGAAAAGGGGGCGCUUGCGCUCUCGCUAUUGGAUGAGCCCAAGUCGGAUUAGCUAGUUGGUGGGGUAAAGGCCUACCAAGGCGACGAUCUGUAGCUGGUCUGAGAGGAUGAUCAGCCACACCGGGACUGAGACACGGCCCGGACUCCUACGGGAGGCAGCAGUGGGGAAUAUUGGACAAUGGGGGCAACCCUGAUCCAGCCAUGCCGCGUGUGUGAAGAAGGCCUUUUGGUUGUAAAGCACUUUAAGCAGUGAAGAAGACUCUAUGGUUAAUACCCAUAGACGAUGACAUUAGCUGCAGAAUAAGCACCGGCUAACUCUGUGCCAGCAGCCGCGGUAAUACAGAGGGUGCAAGCGUUAAUCGGAAUUACUGGGCGUAAAGCGAGCGUAGGUGGCUUGAUAGUCAGAUGUGAAAUCCCCGGGCUUAACCUGGGAACUGCAUCUGAUACUGUUAGGCUAGAGUAGGUGAGAGGGGGGUAGAAUUUCAGGUGUAGCGGUGAAAUGCGUAGAGAUCUGAAGGAAUACCGAUGGCGAAGGCAGCCUCCUGGCAUCAUACUGACACUGAGGUUCGAAAGCGUGGGUAGCAAACAGGAUUAGAUACCCUGGUAGUCCACGCCGUAAACGAUGUCUACUAGUCGUUGGGGAACUUGAUUCCUUAGUGACGCAGCUAACGCAAUAAGUAGACCGCCUGGGGAGUACGGCCGCAAGGUUAAAACUCAAAUGAAUUGACGGGGGCCCGCACAAGCGGUGGAGCAUGUGGUUUAAUUCGAUGCAACGCGAAGAACCUUACCUGGUCUUGACAUAUCUAGAAUCCUGCAGAGAUGCGGGAGUGCCUUCGGGAAUUAGAAUACAGGUGCUGCAUGGCUGUCGUCAGCUCGUGUCGUGAGAUGUUGGGUUAAGUCCCGCAACGAGCGCAACCCUUUUCCUUAGUUACCAGCGGUUUGGCCGGGGACUCUAAGGAUACUGCCAGUGACAAACUGGAGGAAGGCGGGGACGACGUCAAGUCAUCAUGGCCCUUACGACCAGGGCUACACACGUGCUACAAUGGUAGGUACAGAGGGCAGCUACACAGCGAUGUGAUGCGAAUCUCAAAAAGCCUAUCGCAGUCCAGAUUGGAGUCUGCAACUCGACUCCAUGAAGUCGGAAUCGCUAGUAAUCGCGGAUCAGAAUGUCGCGAUGAAUACGUUCCCGGGCCU
rnacentral:rRNA from 1 species